CUCUCACCUGUCAUCUCCCUAGCCUGUAGCCAAAGCCAGGCGACGCUAGCGUCUGGAGCGGUGGGAGGAGGAGGUGCAGCGGCCGAGGUCCCCCCCCCCCCCCCGUUUCGCGCCCACCGAGGCGUCGCGCACGCGGUCACCCGCACCCAGGCGCCGCCUCGUGGGAGUGGGGGCGUGGAGGCGGAGCAAUGGCGUGCGGUCCGGGCCGAUCCGCGGAUCUGUGAGGCGCGGCGCGUGCUGGCUGGCGCGUGAUGGGAUCUGGGAGCAGCAAGGCCGCCGCCGCCUCCUCGUCGUCCUCAUCGGCAUCGGAGGCGGGCGGCGAGGUGAAGCGGGGGAAUGGGACCGGCAAGGGGCGGCGGGCGAGGAGCCUGCUGCCGCUGCCGAGCUCCGCCUGCUUCCGCGGCUCCGCGGCGCCGGCAGAAGGCGGCGCUUCUUCCGCUGCCCGAACGCCGCCGGCGGGCGAGGCUAACAAGGGAGGGGAGACCACAAGCCUGCCUUCGCUGGUUCACUCUGCAAAGUCUGACGAAGAUGCUCUCACGGUGCCUAAAUCUCGCCCAGGUGAAGAGACAGUAGCGCCUUCAUCAGAUAAUGAGAGAGACCAAGAUGAUGAUGCGCUACAGAAUCCUGCUGCCACUAGCACAUCUGAAGCUGCGGCCAAUCAAUUGCCAAAUCCUUCUGACAGGCCAAGGCCACGCUUUGGUGCCAACUUCGGGUUGAGUAGGGCUGUCAGCUUGGGAUCAUCUGUAGCUUGCUCCAUUCUGUCAUCUGGCCUAUCUGCUUCAGCCAAUCCAGGUGAAAGCCACGGAGAGGUGACCAGUUCUUCUGAUGCAGUUAUCUCCCAACAAGGCGGUGCCCUGACUGCUGGGAUCGAUUCUACUCUGGAUAUGCUUAGAGAUAGUGUCACAGCACAAGCUAGAGCAGCUCGUCAGGCUAGGAGAAAUCAGCUAGAAUCUGAAGAUGCUAGCUUUAGGAACUCCAAUAGAAGGAUUGGAUCCGAGCCUUUCGAAGGCAGUGUUCGAUUUAGCCGAACGUUGAGUGUUGGGCGGCUUCGAGACAGAGUUCUCAGGAGGACUCCGUUCUCAGAUGGGCUAUUCACCCCUUCACUUCUUUAUGAUAGGGCUGUGUGGCCGUCAGGAAAUGGUAGUGCUAGGCAGGAUUUAGCAACGAUGCAGAGGACUAAUUCCGAUAGAAGUUCAGAAUUGCGCUCUGAUCCUUCAGCCAACUACAAUUCUAGCUCUGAGACCUUGAGAGAGGCAAGUAAUCGGGAUCUACUGGAGCGCAGAUCAGCUUUUCUUGAAAGGAGGAGAAGGAUACGAUCUCAGGUCAGAGCUCUCCAAAGAUUGGGCAGCAGGUUUGAAAAUUUAUCUGGUCAUGAGAGGUCCUGCAUACUAUCUGGUCAACAUAGAACUGGAAAUUGCAACUGCAGAACAAGCGGUCGAACAGGUAAUCCUGAUGAAGAAACUAGCACGAGGGCUAGCAUAUCAAGAAUUGUUAUGUUAGCAGAAGCACUCUUUGAGGUUCUGGAUGAAAUCCACCAGCAGUCUGCUGCAUUAUCAUCAUCAAGACCAUCAUUUUCUUCAAUUGGAUCUGUUCCUGCUCCAAGGGAGAUCGUUGAGUGUCUUCCUGUAAAGGUUUAUAGGAAGCCAUUGAAACAUCGAACUGAGGAGGCUGCACAGUAAGACAUUAUGGCUUGUUUAGAAUAACUUUUGAAAUCUUUUACUUCAAAUAUAUGGAUUCUAAACAGCUUGAGCCAUGUGUUUCACUUUUUCAUAAGCAUGACUAGUUGUACUUUUGUCUCUACUUAACAACUUAACAUCCUUGCACAUGAUGGAAAGUUAAUACAUAAAGCUACUGUUAUUUGGCCACAAACUCCAGUAUCUAAGCUCAAUUUUAAGGUCUGCAAUUAGACACAGGCUAGCAUACCAAGCAUGAUUAUGCAGCACUCGUACAUAAGCAGUUAAUUUGCAGUAAAAUGAACGAUUCUAGGAAAAAUAUUUCAAUCUACCAUUCAUGCCGCCAACAAAAAAAUAUAUUGUUUGUAUGUGGAAAAGACAUGGCUGAAAAGGUUUCUAUGCACAUAUGGUCUGUACAGUUGCCAUUUAAGUUGGUAGUUCAUUUCCAGCUGUCUAGCACAUGUACGUUUAUGAGAGUGGGACAUACAUUAUUUGUCUUGGUACUUAUUCUUUAACCUUGCAACCAUGAGUUAUU